rnacentral:rRNA from 1 species
CCUACGGGAGGCAGCAGUGGGGGAUAUUGCACAAUGGGGGAAACCCUGAUGCAGCGACGCCGCGUGGGUGAAGAAGUAUUUCGGUAUGUAAAGCCCUAUCAGCAGGGAAGAAAGAAGACGGUACCUGACUAAGAAGCCCCGGCUAACUACGUGCCAACAGCCGCGGUAAUACGUAGGGGGCGAGCGUUAUCCGGAUUCACUGGGUGUAAAGGGAGCGUAGACGGCCGUGCAAGCCAGGAGUGAAAGCCCGGGGCCCAACCCCGGGACUGCUCUUGGAACUGUGCGGCUGGAGUGCGGGAGGGGCAGGCGGAAUUCCUGGUGUAGCGGUGAAAUGCGUAGAUAUCAGGAGGAACACCGGCGGCGAAGGCGGCCUGCUGGACCGCGACUGACGUUGAGGCUCGAAAGCGUGGGGAGCGAACAGGAUUAGAUACCCUAGUAGUC